GUGUGUGUGUGUGUGUGAUGGCGGGAGAAAGAUGUGGCUUCUUGAGGGUGCAUUUUGGAGAAGUGUCAAGAGAAAUGCUAAAAGGGCAAUCAGCUUGGGAUUAAAUUUCAAAUGAAAUUGGGUCUUCAGGGUAAGGAGACAUAAAGAACUUUCAACUGCAGGUUUCUAAAA